rnacentral:lncRNA from 1 species
AUGGACUGUGUCUUCACACUUUUGUCUUGACAGAGCAGAACACAAGCAGAGGAGGAUGUCAUUCAGAAGGGCAAGUGGAAGAGGUUAGGAGGCAGAUUGAUAAAAUAUAAUCUGAAGUGGAUGAGGUGAGGAAGAGGCACAGCAUGAUCCUGUCUGCACCCAAUCCAGAUCAGACACACAGUGCUCUCCAGGAAGUUUGUGGAUGUCAUGACUCAGUACAACGAGACUCAAGUGUCGUUUAGGGAGAGAAGCAAUUGAAGGAU